UUCAAAUAGCUUAAUUAGAGCAUAAUAUUGAAGAUAUUAAGGUAAUUUAAAUUUUUGAAUAU
rnacentral:tRNA from 1 species